CUCUUAUUUGGUGAUUUUUCUAGAAAUACUUGUGUUAUCAAUUUCCAAGUUACAUUAUUAUCAAAACAUCUUCUAAAUAAUUUAUCCCUUUGAAGUAUUGAGACUUGCUUUAUGGCUGAGCAUAUGGUCUAUUUUGUAAACUACCCCUGUGUAGUUGGAGAAGAUUUAUUCUGCAAUUGUUGGAUAUAGUGUUUUAUAAAUAUUAAUGAUGUCAAGUUGGAUAAAAAUGUUGUUCAAACAGUCUUCUGUUUACUCAUUUUUUCCUGCUUGUUCUAUCAAUUACUGAGAGAGAUUUACCAGUCUCCUACUAGGAUUACAGAUUUUUCUAUUCAUCCUUUUAGUUCUGCCAACUUCUGCUUCAUCUAUUAUGAGGUUUUGUUUUUAGGUGUACACAUAUUUAGGACCGUUUUCCUAAUGAGAUCACUAUUUGAUUAUUAUGAGUGUCUUUAUUUUUGGUAAUAUUCAUUGACUAGGGGGUGUUUUUUCCAUAACAGUAAUAUUUUACUUUUCUAAUUGCAAUAGUAAUACUGUAUUUCUCAUCAUUGGUAUUUGCACAAGUAUUUUUCCAUCCUUUUACUUUAAACCUAUCUGAUCUUAUUUUUAAAGUACAUCCUUGCAAACAGCAUACGGUUGAGUCUUAUUUUCUUGAUCCAGGCUGAGACUGUAAGAAAUUCAUUUAAUAUCUGGUAUAUUCAAUUUUAAAAUAAACUUUUGGAAUAACUUUAGAUUUACAGAAAAGUUGCAAAAAUACAACAGGAGAAUCCUAAAUACUUCUUACUAGUUUUCUCUAUGUUAAUACUUUAUAUAAGCGUAGUACAUUUAUCAAAACUAAAAAAACAUUGUCACUUUACCAUUACAUAAAAUCCAGACAUUAUUUGGAUGUCACCAGUUUUUCCAUUAAGGUCAUUUUUCUGUUCCAAGAUCCAAUCCAGGAUUCCACGUGGCAUUUUUUAUUCCAUCUAUUAUUUCACCAUUUACUUUUAAUGCAAUUUUGUGUUUGCAAUUUUGCUUUUCUUCUUAAAGAUCACCCCUCCCAAAUUGUACAAACUUCUCGUUAGAUCUACCCUACUUUUGAUAGAUGUCUAAUUUUGUUUCUACCAUAAUAAUUUUUAAUGCCCUCCCUCCACCCAAACACAGAGAAAAAGACAGACAGAAUUGUGUGUGUGUGGUUUCUUUUGUUUUCUAAUUCUUGUUACAUAAACUAUUGUUAUUUUCUUUCAUCUUUCUCCAGUGAUCUUUAGAGCAUAUAUAUUAUUUUAGAUUCCACUACUGGUUAUCAUUUACUUUUAAAAAAAUUUUAUAUUUGAAUCUAUAUUUUUUAAAUUAGCUAAGACCCAAAUAAACAGUUUAUUUGGACUACCCUUACGUAUGAU
rnacentral:lncRNA from 1 species